GGAGAGGGCAUAGCUCAGUGGUAGAGUGCAUGCCUAGCAUGCAUGAGGUCCUGGGUUCGAUUCCCAGUACCUCCA
rnacentral:tRNA from 1 species